AGAGAGAGAGAGAGAGGGAAGGAGGGAACGAACUGAACGCGCACGGCGACACAUCUGGCGCUACGCUUCCUUUGGCUCCCAGCGCUCCUCGUACGCACGCACGCACGCACGCACGAACACGCGCGGUGCCGGGGCCGUGACGCCUCGCCGGCGGUGGGGAUGACGAGGCGGUGCUCGCACUGCAGCAACAACGGCCACAACGCGCGGACCUGCCCCGCCCGCUCCGGCGCUGGCGGCGGCGGAGGCGGCGUGAGGCUGUUCGGCGUGCACCUCACGUCGCCGCCGGUGGCCGCGAUGAAGAAGAGCGCGAGCAUGAGCUGCAUCGCGUCGUCGCUCGGCGGCGGCGGGUCCGGGGGCUCGUCGCCGGCCGUGGGGCCGGGGGGCGGCGCCGCCAGGGGAGGCGGCGAGGGCGCGCCCGGGUACGUCUCCGACGACCCCAUGCACGCCUCCUGCUCGACCAAUGGCCGGGCCGAGCGCAAGAAAGGUACACCUUGGACUGAAGAAGAGCAUAGGUUGUUUCUACUGGGUCUGCAGAAGCUUGGCAAAGGAGACUGGCGUGGGAUAUCUCGUAGUUUUGUGGUCUCAAGGACCCCAACUCAGGUGGCCAGCCACGCCCAGAAGUACUUCAUUAGACAGACAAACUUCUCAAGACGGAAGAGGAGGUCAAGCUUGUUUGACAUGGUCCCGGAAAUGCCAAUGGAUGAGUCCCCCGAUGGCGCGGAAGAGUUUACGCUCUGCAGCACUCAAGAUGAAACAAGUAGUUCAAAUAAACUGUCGCUGUUUCAUCUUGGGCGACAGAAGGAAGCAGAGUGUGAUAAAGAUCUGCCAACUUUGCAACUAAGGCAGCACGAGGAAUCUGAAUACGGAGGGCCUUCAUUGGAAGCACCAGAUUUGGAGAUGAACAAUGGUGUAUCGUUCAAGGCCGCAUCUGUCUCGACAGUUCCAGCGUUCUACCCUUCAUUGCUCCCUGUUCCACUAACACUUUGGCCUGCGAACGUUUCUAAUGUGGAAGCAGCAAAUGCAAGCCAUGAAGUCCUAAAGCCCACUCCUGUGAAUUUAAAGGAGGCAAUUAAGGCGGAUGAGGUUGUCAGUAUGUCCAAGCUCAGCAUUGGUGGGGGUACCUCUGGCUCAAUGGAGCCUUCCGCUCUUUCCCUUCAGCUUACCGGGCCGACAAAUACAAGACAAUCAGCUUUUCAUGUGAGCCCACCAAUGACUAGAACUGACCUUAGUCAGGGAAACAACAGCCCAAUCCAUGCAGUUUGAAGAGUCAUGGAAUGGGCCUUCCUGGUCAAGUCUUACAGAUUGUAUUAAUGGUCCUGAUACUCUAUAAUGUUGCGUCACUCCAGAAGAUGAAGGGGAACAUGCCGCAGUGCAACCCGGGUCAGGGACUCAUUUCUCAGUAAUGAAGCAAGAAGGCAAGAAUUUGUGCCAAAUCGAACGAAGUAUAGAAGGUGCUCAUGCAAACGCAAUCGAGGGCACGGCUGAGUACAUGGAACAGAGGCGUGCAGCUACGAGUGGCUGAAAUGCUGACUGCCGACUCAGUCACCAACUUGUGCCAUGUCGUCCACUCAUGCCGAAAAGCAAGAACGUUUUCCUUGCGCCGAUUUGAAACGGGCGC